UACAGAGGUCCCAAGCGUUGUUCGGAUUCACUGGGCGUAAAGAGCGCGCAGGCGGUCGUUCAAGUCGCGUGUGAAAGCCCCCGGCUCAACUGGGGAGGGUCACGCGAUACUGAUCGACUCGAAGGCAGGAGAGGGUAGUGGAAUUCCCGGUGUAGUGGUGAAAUGCGUAGAUAUCGGGAGGAACACCAGUGGCGAAGGCGACUACCUGGCCUGUUCUUGACGCUGAGGCGCGAAAGCUAGGGGAGCAAACGGG
rnacentral:rRNA from 1 species